GUAGCACACACAAUCGGCGUUCGAGGAAGGCGACAUUUUUAGUAGGAUCUAGAUAAGCAUAUUCCUCGUCCACACUGAAGAAAGACUCAACGCUACAUCUGGAGCUGUGAUGGAAAUAAGUUAUUAGAGCAUAUGGUUACUGGGAACAAAUGAUUUGCUUUGGUUUUUGUUCUGAAUAUAAAAAACUUGUGAAUAUGCAGUUUAAAAUUUGAUGCCUUCUGAGUGUUAUGUUGCUGCUGCGUACGGAUGGCGGAUCCUCAGGGGAGGUUGAAGACUCUCGACUCUCUGAAGCUGUUUUUUCACCAGUUGUCUCUCCACUUGUACUCGAGGACAUCGAAUCUCUAGUUAAAUCGAUUUCCGAGGGGACGUAUUCAGCUACUACAUCUCCCUUAUUGACAAGGAUCUUCUCCAAUUUCACCUGAAUUAGUGGUUCGUCUGAUACCGUGGAGUCUUCUUCAUCUUCCUGACGUUUUGUGUAAUACUGCCCCAACAAACCAAUAGCUUCGUAAUAGCAACCAUCAAAGGCGUAGUGAAAGGGACUGCGACCAUCGUCGUCAAGGGCCAAAGGGUCCCCUCCAUUGGCUAGCAGCAGUUCCAAUACCUUAACCCUUCCCCAGGCGGCUGCAACGUGUACUGGAGUCAUUCCAUCCACAGACCUGACGUUGGGAUCUCCUCCAUGACGCAGGAAGAGACGAGUGACGUCUUCUGCGAAGCUUUCUGACUCAUUACCGAUAACUAGGUGAAACGGGGAGAUGCCGUGCAUCGGAAGGAGGAUGUUGGGAUCGGCUUCCUUAUGCUCCAGAAGUGUAGUGACUUGAUUGAUGUUAUUGUCUUCCAGACCAUCACGUAAAGACGACGCUAGGAAGAGUUCUUUUGGCCUUGGGAUUGACAUUAUUCAAGUGUAUAUGAUACACGAGGUUGGAGACUUAGUAUUGUCUUCAGGAGCAACUGUUGAUUUUUAUGACUUCACGGGCCUGUUUCCUUCAUCUGGUUUUCCUGAAAAAUCAUUAAUUCGAAGAAGUCGAUGGGAAAGAAAUCGGUGGAAGAAAAGGGCGAGAUAGAACGUCCAAAAAUCAGCUUUGAAGAUAAAAAAAUUUUAUCGGGAAUCGAAGGUCAGCCGGAAACUCCUGCCAGAGCCGAAGCGAACGACAGGAAGACUCUAAAGAUUCUAGAAGCUGAUUCUACAGUUGCGGAGACCUCCAAAGCAUCCCAACCUACUGAGAGUGUCGUUAGAGUUACCAGAAAUAAGGAAGAAGAAAUGUGCCGAUAUGUCAGUGAUGAAGAACGUGCUGAUCUCCUAUAUGGAAUGAAGAAAAAGUUCGAAGAGCUCAUGCAUGCCUUCCAGGUACUUCCCUUUCUCACAGAUACUCCGCCAAAAGCCAAGAGGAAAGCAAAAAUGGAGAGAGACUUGAAUCAGUUGGAGAAAGACAUCGACUUAAUUGAACGUCAUCCUCGUAUCUACGUUUACGAGGGAAAUCCAUAGAUUUAGAUACAUUUCAGCUCAUAAAGCCCUGAAAACUUGACUGCAUAGUCAUUUACAUUACAUGAUUAUCACAUAACAGUCGCAUAAAAUUUUUGGUCUCCAAUUCUAGUGUUUUAGCAGGUAUUAUGUUUAUUCUACUGAAAGACAAAGACGGAAAAUGUUA